rnacentral:rRNA from 1 species
GAUGAACGCUGACAGAAUGCUUAACACAUGCAAGUCUACUUGAAUUUGGGUUUUUUAACUUCGAUUUGGGUGGCGGACGGGUGAGUAACGCGUAAAGAACUUGCCUCACAGCUAGGGACAACAUUUGGAAACGAAUGCUAAUACCUGAUAUUAUGAUUAUAGGGCAUCCUAGAAUUAUGAAAGCUAUAUGCGCUGUGAGAGAGCUUUGCGUCCCAUUAGCUAGUUGGAGAGGUAACGGCUCACCAAGGCGAUGAUGGGUAGCCGGCCUGAGAGGGUGAACGGCCACAAGGGGACUGAGACACGGCCCUUACUCCUACGGGAGGCAGCAGUGGGGAAUAUUGGACAAUGGACCGAGAGUCUGAUCCAGCAAUUCUGUGUGCACGAUGACGUUUUUCGGAAUGUAAAGUGCUUUCAGUUGGGAAGAAAAAAAUGACGGUACCAACAGAAGAAGUGACGGCUAAAUACGUGCCAGCAGCCGCGGUAAUACGUAUGUCACGAGCGUUAUCCGGAUUUAUUGGGCGUAAAGCGCGUCUAGGUGGUUAUGUAAGUCUGAUGUGAAAAUGCAGGGCUCAACUCUGUAUUGCGUUGGAAACUGUGUAACUAGAGUACUGGAGAGGUAAGCGGAACUACAAGUGUAGAGGUGAAAUUCGUAGAUAUUUGUAGGAAUGCCGAUGGGGAAGCCAGCUUACUGGACAGAUACUGACGCUGAAGCGCGAAAGCGUG